rnacentral:rRNA from 1 species
UGAGCAAUCUGCCCUUCUCUUCGGAAUAAGCGUUGGAAACGACGUCUAAUGCCGAAUACGACCUCCUUUCGCAUGAUCGGAGGUGGAAAGCUCCGGCGGAGAAGGAUGAGCUCGCGGCCUAUCAGCUUGUUGGUGAGGUAAUGGCUCACCAAGGCGACGACGGGUAGCCGGCCUGAGAGGGUGACCGGCCACACUGGGACUGAGACACGGCUCAGACCUCCGUAGGGAGG